rnacentral:lncRNA from 1 species
CAAAAAUACUGAACUAUUAGGAAAAUUCAAAACGGAAAGUCUCUAAUCAAAUGGCAAAAUCAAAAGAAUGGACAACACUGUUAUAUUCAUGACUUUGUACAGGCAUUUUCUUAUGUUGAAAAUUGUUGAUUAAGCCUGGUUUUAUAGCUAGCUUAAUCUCUCACUUGUAUGACAGUCACAUCAAAUUCCAUUUUAUUGACAAAGAUGUUCGAACAAAACAAACAGACAUAGUAGGUAAAAAUGACACAAAUAGGGGAACAGCAGUCAACAUUGUGUAAUAAUCUUAAUCACUAUAAAAGUAAAAAAAUAUGUAACAAAUAAGC